UACGGAGGGUGCAAGCGUUAAUCGGAAUUACUGGGCGUAAAGGGCACGCAGGCGGUUUGUUAAGUCAGAUGUGAAAUCCCCGGGCUCAACCUGGGAACUGCAUUUGAUACUGGCAAGCUUGAGUGUUGUAGAGGGGGGUGGAAUUCCACGUGUAGCGGUGAAAUGCGUAGAGAUCUGGAGGAAUACCGAUGGCGAAGGCAGCCCCCUGG
rnacentral:rRNA from 1 species